ACGGGAGGCAGCAGUGGGGAAUAUUGGACAAUGGGCGCAAGCCUGAUCCAGCAAUGCCGCGUGAGUGAUGAAGGCCUUCGGGUUGUAAAGCUCUUUCGCACGCGACGAUGAUGACGGUAGCGUGAGAAGAAGCCCCGGCUAACUUCGUGCCAGCAGCCGCGGUAAUACGAAGGGGGCUAGCGUUGUUCGGAAUUACUGGGCGUAAAGGGCGCGUAGGCGGUUUGUCAAGUCAGGCGUGAAAGCCCCGGGCUCAACCUGGGAACUGCGCUUGAGACUGGCAGGCUCGAGUUCGGGAGAGGAUGGUGGAAUUCCCAGUGUAGAGGUGAAAUUCGUAGAUAUUGGGAAGAACACCGAUGGCGAAGGCAGCCAUCUGGACCGACACUGACGCUGAGGCGCGAAAGCGUGGGGAGCAAACAGGAUUAGAUACCCUGGUA
rnacentral:rRNA from 1 species